GUAAGAAAUGAUUUCAAACCUUUGAAAACACUUUUACAAAUUGAUAUUUGUGAAGAUGUGAAGAUCAAAUGCAGCAAACAGUUUUUCCACAAGUUGGAUGACCUUAUGUGCAGGGAGCUUAAUAAAAAGAAUAUCCAAGCUGUUUCAACCAUUUUGGUUUCUUUUGGAAGAUGUGGCAAAAAUAUCAGUAUAUUGGGACAAGCUGGACUUCUGACUAUGAUAAAACAAGGACUAGUCCAAAAGAUAAUAACCAAUGUAUACAUUUCUUUUUUUUACAUGGUGGCCUGGUUUGAAAAAUCCAAGAAAAUUAUUCUGAGUCAAGGAAAUUCAAAAGAUGAAGCCGUUAUAAAUAUGAUAGAAGAUUUAUUUGAUCUUUUGAUGGUCAUACAUGACACUGAUGAUGAAGGUAAAAGGCAAAUAGUGGAAAGUUUCGUACCUCGAAUUUGUGCCCUGGUUAUUGACUCAAGAGUGACUAUUUGUAUUCAGCAGGAGACUCUAAAAAAAAUGAAUGCUAUGCUUGACAAAAUGCCUCAAGAUGCUGGAAAAAUACUCUGUAACCAAGAAAUGUUAAUUCUCAUGAGUAGUAUGGGAGAAAGGAUUUUAGAUGCUGGAGAUUAUGACCUACAAGUAGGUAUCAUAGAAGCUUUAUGUAGAAUGACCACGGAAAAACAAAGGCAAGAACUGGCGUGUCAGUGGUUUUCAAUGGAUUUUAUUGCUAAUGCAUUUAAAGAAAUUAAAGACUCUGAAUUUGAAACAGAUUGUAGGAUAUUUCUUAACCUCGUAAAUGGCAUGCUUGGCGAUAAGAGAAGGGUCUUUACAUUCCCUUGUUUAUCAGCAUUUCUUGAUAAACAUGAGCUGCAAAUACCAUCAGAUGAGAAACUUGAGGAAUUUUGGAUAGAUUUUAAUCUUGGGAGCCAGACUCUAUCAUUCUACAUUGCUGGAGAUAAUGAUGAUCAUCCGUGGGAAGCAGUCACUGUGCCUGAGGAAAAAGUACAAAUAUACAGCAUUGAAGUGAAAGAAUCAAAGAAGCUACUGACUAUAAUUCUGAAAAAUAUUGUAAAAAUUAGUAAAGGAGAAGGGAAAGAAUUACUUUUAUAUUUUGAUGCAUCGUUAGAAAUCACUAAUGUGACACAAAAAAUUUUUGGUGCAAAUAAGUAUAGGGAAUUUACCAGAAAACAAGGCAUUUCAGUUGCCAAAACAUCUGUGCAUAUACUCUUUGAUGCAAGUGGAUCACAGAUUCUAGUCCCAGAAAGUCAAACCUCACCAGUUGAAGAGGAACUUGUUAGUUUGAAAGAAAAACUUACCCCUCAAGAGGAAUUAGCUAAACCUCCAAAAUAUAUCAAAAAUAGUAAUCAAGGGGACAGAAAAAAUAGUCAGGCUGAGAUAAUUACUCCUAGCAAAAGAAAAAUGUCUGAAGCAUCAAUGAUUGUUCCCAGUUCAGAGAGAUACACUGUGAGAAGUCCAAUACUUCUAAUCAAUACAUCAACACCGCGAAGAGGAAGAAUUAAACCACCACUGCAGAUGACAAGUUCUACAGAAAAACCUGGUGUUUCCAAAACAUCGGAAAAUGGAGUGGAUAAUGCUGUAUCACUUAAAUCUAGAACAUCUCAAGAAAGAAAUAGAGGAGAUAAUACAGACAAACAUAUCAAAACUGCUAAAGUUGUAGAAAAUAAGGAUACUGAAUUCCCAAACCAAAAUUUUAGUAAGUACUUUAUGCAAGUGAACUUGUUUUCUAGGUUACCUGGUGCUUUAGACAACAUCUGCGGAAAUAAAAUGCACUCCAAAUGCGUAUGUUGGACACCUGUAACAAACAUUCAGCUUGGUAAUAACCGAAGAGAAAGUACUUCAUCAGGAGACACAUUUAAUCAAGAUACUAUUAUCAACAAAAAACUUGCUAAACAAAAAUCAUCCUCUUCAAUAUCUGAUGAUAAUUCUGAGGAAACAGGAAAGGUACAGUACAGGGAAGAAAGAAUGCAGCAUAACAAAGUAGAUGAAGCAGAAGUAGGAGUCUGCAAAGGCAGCAAACAGCAACUCGGUCGUCCUAAACACUUGGAGGAGGAAAGUACUGAAAAUACCAAGCAGAGUGAUUGGCGUAUUGAAUCUGAAACUACUUUUAAAUCAGUUCUCCUAAAUAAGACAGUUGAAGAAUCUGUGAUCUAUAGGAAAAAAUACAUAUUGUCAAAGGAUGUGAAUACUACUAUUUGUGAUAAAAGCCCUUCUCCUAGAAAAAAUGCAAACGGCGUUAGAAAAUCAGGGAAAAGACUGACGUCUGAACUUAGUUCCUGGGACUUGAAACCAAAAAAAACGAGAGAAAAGUUAAAAGGGAAAGGAUUUACUGAUGCAGCAGAAUCCUUGAUAAGCCAAAUUAAUAAGAGAUACAAACCAAAGGAUGGCAUAAAGUCCACAAGAAAAUUAAAGGAGUCUUUGACUGACAGUGGUUUUUCAAACAAAUCUGAUCUACAGCUCAGUAAGGAAAAGGUUCAGAAAAAAAGUUAUAGACAAUUGAAGACUACUUUCGUUAAUGUUACUUCUGAAUGCCCAUUGAACGAUGUUUACAAUUUUAAUUUGAAUGGAGCAGAUGAGCCUAUUAUAAAACUGGGAAUUAAAAUUAAUGUGUAUUUUUGUUUAAGGGUAGGUUUAAGGAAUCAUGAUGAACUUGAAACUUCUCUCAAAACAAAAGAUAAAAGAAUUGUAACAAAUCAUAAAAAGAAAAAUCUCUUUAGUGAUACUGACACAGAAUACAAUUGUGAUGACAUGAAGACAGAUAUUAGCUGGUUAAGAGAACCAAAAUCAAAACCACAGCUAAUAGACUACAGCAGAAAUAAAAAUGUGAAGAAACAUAAAAGUGGGAGAUCAAGACCAUGUUUGGAAAGGAGACAACCAAGAUCUAAAAUGACACCCAACAAAAAUAUCACCAAAAAGGUAGAUGAGACAGUUCCAGAGGGGAGAACCAGACUUCCACGAAGAGCAGCAAAAACCAAAAAAAAUUAUAAGGAUCUCUCAAAUUCAGAAUCAGAGAGUGAACAAGAAUUUUCACAUUCAUUUAAAGAAAAAUUGCUAGUAAAGGAGAGUAUACAUUCCAGAAGCAAAACUGUGAAGCUGCCAAAGAAACAGCAGGAUUCCUUUUCUGCCGAAAUACAGAAGGAUAUAUCAAAAGAAAGGAAAAACUCAUCUCUACUGAGAGAUACUCUACAAGAAAACAGCCUUGACCUAGCUCCUAUAUCUUUAUCUGGGAGUCCAUCAUCUAUAGAAGUAAUGAGAUGUACAGAAAAAGGAACAGAAAGGGAUUUUACUCAGGAUUAUGACUGUAUAACAAAAUCAGUAUCACCUUAUCCAAAAACUUCAUCACCUGAAUCCUUAAACAGUAAAUACAGCAUUGGAGGUCCAACAAAGUCACCCAAAAACAGUGAGGAAAAUUUACUGUGUACAAGAGAAAAUUGCUCACCAAUUCCACAAUCAUUCUUUUUGGUAAGAAAAAAAAAGUAUGUAUUUUCUCUUUUAUCAGAUAUACCUGAAGUGGGCAAAUCAUUUGAUAGUCAUUCAGCGUCUCCAUUAUCCAUGUCUAGUGAAGGAGGAGAGAAAACGCAGUGUGACAUGCCCUGGGACUCCACUCAUGCAUCAGGCCCUACACAACAUCUUAGUCGCAAACGAAUGUACACAGAAGACAACCUAAGUAAUUAUGAUGAAGUAGAACUGGAAGAAAGAGCAAACUUGCCUCCCAAAAAACUAUCUAAAGGCGAAGAUGCAGAUCAUCACAAUGACAAAGUGUCUGAAAGUGUAUCUCCGUUAUCAACAAAUGACUCUUCUAUUCCCGGGGAGAACUGGGAAACUGAAAUAGCAGGUGUAGGGAUUGUGUAUGAGCAGUUCAACACAGAAUUCAAGACGAAAGUUCAUAUCCACCAGAAACUGAUGGAUUAUUUUACUAAGCAGUUGUGGAAAACAGCCCAACAGCAUAUAAAAACAAUGAACCAUCAAAUUCAGGAGUACAGGAUCAAAAAACUUGAUAAAUUCCAAUUCAUCAUCACAGAGGAGCUGGAGAAUUUUGAAAAAGAUUCACAGUCUUUAAAAGAUUUGGAGAAGGAAUUUGUGGACUUUUGGGAAAAGAUAUUUCACAAGUUCAGUGCCUAUCAAAAAAGUGAACAGCAGCGGCUUCACCUUUUAAAAGCUUCAUUGGACAAGAAUGUCUUCUACAACACUGGUUAUGAAGAAACUAUUUUUACAUCUGAGAUGUGUUUGAUGAAAGAAAACAUGAAAAUGCUGCAAGACAGGCUUCUUAAGGAAAUGCAAGAGGAAGAGCUUCUUAAAGUACGCAGAGGACUGAUGUCAUUAUUCAUGGCUCAUGAAAGAAACAGUGUGUGACGCCUAGUUGUUACCAGCGAGUUUUAUCGAAUUAUGCUUUUCUGUGUAUAACUAAGGAAAUACUACAGUAGCUCUAUAAAGAGAAACACAUGUCACCCAGGCAAGACUGCCUUUGUAGGAACCUCCAAAUCCAAAGAAAUAUCUUAUCAAUGAAAGAACCUACAGUCACUAUAACAUGGUUCUGAGCCCAAAGGACUUUUGUCUGUACACUAUUACCCUUUUUAAAGAAAGUUUUGGGAAAUCAGACAAUAAAAGGAAUUGGCUUGUUUUGCA
ensembl:lncRNA